GAGAAUGUGUGGCACCAGAGAAGCCUCAUGGGCACAGAGCUGCAGGUGCUGGCAUGGAAGGGGUGACAUGGAAAUAUGGGCAAGACACCAACAGCUUCUGCCUCAACUGGUGAACAGCUCCUAAAUUCAUGCCUUCCUGGUCACAGCUUCCACGUUUCCUUGACCAAAGAUCUGUCUGUCCAUUUCUGAUGGAGGGGAGUUGAAGUCUUUAACUAUGACAGUGGAUUCAUCUAUUUCUCCUUGCAGUUCUGUCAGUUUCUGCCUCACAUCGUUUGACUCUCUGUUGUCAGGAUGACCUUGGGCUUAUUUGGCUAAGAGAAUGCAGCAGACAAGACAGCGUGCCAGUUCCAAGCCUAGGCCUCAUGAGGCCUUGAAUCCUUCUCCUUUUCUCUCUUGGGUCCUUAUCCGCCACCACGUGAACAAGCUGAGGCCAACCUGUUGGUUGGAGAAAGAGAGACCACACUGAAGAGAGUUGAGCUGUCUUCUGAGGGCAUCCUGUACCAACCAGACCCAGCUAACCCAGCACGAACUGCUGACAACGACUGAGGCCAGAGGAAAUCAAAACUGCCUACCUGAGUCCAGACCACCUGCCAGUCUGAAGAACUGUGAGCCAAGUCAUUGUUUGAACAGCGAAAGUUAUCAGAUACACUUGUGCAGAAGCUAUACUAUGGGUGGCCUCGACCUGCUUCUGAACUGCUGGAAGUCCACCAGGAACUUGCCUUUUGCUCUCUGCAUGGCUCUGUGCUUCUAUUCCAUUUUUGAUCCAAGGAGAAGUACAGAAGAGUACAUAAAAUAUAUGUACAAAUUUUAAAAGAAUACUAAAAUGAGUGCUCAUUGUGACCACCACUAGCUAUGUCUUUUACAUUUUUGUCUUUGUAUUUUUGUUCUCUUGUUGUCAUGUGCUUGGAGUAGUGGGGCUUCCAGCAAUACCAUCUGAUAGAAUGCACCUGUCCAUUCUAACUGCAGGUGGUGCUCUAGAGACCUCUGUGAGUUUCAGUGCCAAACCCCUGAGUCCUAGGAUACCCUGAUCUCUUGCUGGUAGUGGCUUUGUUAGCAGCCCCAGUGCUUUAUAAUUAUUUAGCCCCAGUGUCUCCCUAAUAAAUACAUAUAUUGAAAACUAAAUAUGCAUAAUUGUAAAAUUGAA